GCCGAGGUAGCCAAGCGGUACGGCGCAAGCCUGGAGAGCUUGUGUUCCAUCAGGAACUCAUGGGUUCAAAUCCCAUCCUCGGCG
rnacentral:tRNA from 1 species